rnacentral:rRNA from 1 species
GGCCUUUUGAUUAUAAUUUAAGGUCUGACCUGCCCACUGAAGAUUUAAAUGGCCGCGGUAUUUUGACCGUGCUAAGGUAGCAUAAUCAUUAGUUUUUUAAUUGAAAACUGGAAUGAACGGUUUGAUGAAAAAAUAACUGUCUCAAAUUAAAUUUAUUAGAAUUUUAUUUUUAAGUUAAAAAGCUUAAAUAUUUUUAAAAGACGAGAAGACCCUAUAGAGUUUUAUAAUUAUUUAAUUUUAAAACUUUAGAAUUUUAAUUUUAAUACUAAAAUAAUUAUUUGGUUGGGGUGAUUAAAAAAUUAAUAAAACUUUUUUAUUAUUAAAACAUUGAUUUAUGAAUAUUUGAUCCUUAAUUUACGAUUAUAAGAUAAAAUUACCUUAGGGAUAACAGCGUAAUUUUUUUGGAGAGUUCAAAUCGAUAAAAAAGAUUGCGACCUCGAUGUUGGAUUAAAAUUUAUUUUUGGUGUAGAGGCUAAAAUAUUGGGUCUGUUCGACCUUUAAAAUUUUACA